rnacentral:lncRNA from 10 species
CUCAAACCUCUGUUGUUCAAGGAAAAAUAUAAGCUCCACUUCCACUUCCAGUCAUUAUGGAGUGACAGUGACCCAAUUUGCCCUACUGCAUGAAACUAUUAAUACAUAACACUUGGACAAAAUAUAUGAAACAAUGGUUUUUGGACAUUUGACAUAAAGGAAUGCAGAACCGUAAUCCCUGAAUGCAAAAUACAAACUGAGCUCUCUGAGUGCCCCAGCUGCUACGCCUGUAGUACAAGAAAAGGAAAUCCAGGCAGACUUUGAUGCUCUUCUUGAGUUGAAGAGAUGAAGCUGGGAGUCCAGACAGGCCCAGGUUUAGCAAAGCAGAUACCAAAGAGAAGAGAGAUGCACAGAGAGAGAGAGAUGCAAAGGAUCUCUCCAGUCUUCAGCUCCAUAAUGCUAAACACUGGUGUAUGAAGAAACUACUUGAAUGGGGUGGAGAUGGGGCAUUGAAGAAAUCACUUGCACAGAGCAAAGGAA